UUUCUUCAAUCAAUCAAUUAUGAUCACUGGAAAAAUAGUUUCAAAUUUCAAUCAGUAUGUAAAUCCAUAUUAAAGAGACUAGCCAAGUAAAUUAUACACAAAGUAAGGAAAAAAUUAGGCGAAGAAGAAAAAGAUGCAUGGGAUUAGAAGGUAUAGGAAGACAAGAAACUUGUGAAGGCAAUGACAUCCAUCCAACUUGGAAAAAGGCCUUUCAAUUUCGUCGUUUGCUCGGUUAAAUGCAGGUCCACCACAGCAACAUCGAGCCUCAGACGUUCCGAUGUGUUGGCCUGCACAACGGAAGCAUGCCAGUUGCAUCAAGGUUUCAGAAACUAGAUUAAGAUUGUCUGAAGAUGCAAGGAAUCUCUUCAUCAGAAGCCAUGAUCAAUUGUGAGAUAGUUUGAUUACCUCCAACCAGAAUGUCCAAUUCUCGUGGCCUGUGCCGCUCAGUCUGCAAAUGUAUGAUGGUGGCCCGUUGCCAAUUCUAACGGUAGCUGUCAAAAGUUCGAACAGAUAUUAGCCUACGACAUAGAAAAUGACGUUGGGAUUGGGACAAAGGAAUUCAAAUCAACCUGGAACUACGUUAUUUGCAAAUGACCAAUUUGAUAACGGUCCUGUAAUGUUGAGGACUGCAACCCACACCUCCUUCAAGGAACUGCAUGAGGGAGUCAAACAGCAGUAUUUCAUCGUAUUAAGAAGAAUCCAGGAAGCAAGCCGUCCGACAAAGGACUCUAUCAAAUACAUAUCAGCGGAGAAUUUUAGAAAGCAUACCCUAACGAGAACUCCAAGUUGACUCUCCGAGAUCCCUGGGUCGAGAUGCUAGGGGAUAUGUGAGACGUCACAAGUGGAAAUUUUGAGUAUUCUUUCAAGAUUUCUUCAUUCGUUGUGGGAAACUUCAGGCUUCUUGAAAACAAAGCAUUAAUGGGAAAAAUUCCCUGUAAAAAAGAGAAUUUGGAUUCAUAAUCAGUGUCCAUUGUAAUCAUAAAUUUAGAGGUACUUUUGCUAAUCAAGCUCAUAUGGUGAGAAGCUAGCCAUAUUGGGACCAUAAGGUACUAUCAAGGCACUUGUUUUUUGCUAUUCAAUGUCAAUAAUAAGCAGUAUGAGGCUAAUGUUUAAUUUUGAUGCUGAAUGUGUAAAUUGCAUGGCUUGACCAAGUAUGGAUUGUAUCACAAACACUAGUAUUUGUUCCAAUGAGGUGUGAAAUCCAUGAUAGUAAUAACAGAAACUCUUUGUUGGCAAUACCAAACUCGACAACCGAAAGAUUCCUACAGGUAAGGACCUACUCCUGUCAUGGUAACUCAUAAAGCCUGAAUUCAUUUUCUUAUUCAUGUGAUAUCUUCAUAAAAGAUCGUGACAAUUCACUAGGGUCAAACAGACGAGAAAAAAAGAACUUAAGAAAUUACCGUCCAUCUCUGAGUAUCUGAUUGAGUGACCGUGUCAAAACUUAAUUCUUUAUCACCAUACAGUUCAUUUGCCGCGUCAGGUGCAUGAUGGAAAACAAACAUCAGGGAAUUGGAGUCAACUACGGCAAAAUCAAAACUAACUCCAGAUACUUGAUCUGCAUCUGUCGAAUGGAUGAGAAUAGCAGUCACAAAUUUGAUGUCAUAUUGGGUAGAACUAGAGUUGUCGCAGAGAGCAGUCAAUAAUUACCCACUUAAAAAUAAAGGUGAAUGUUAGCCUACACGCCCAUUGUGGGCACAUCCAUGAGCACCUAGAGUAUAUUCAUUUUGAAAUAAUGAUGCAUGCAUCCAAUACACUAGGUGUUCAUGGAGGUGCACGUGAGGGUGUGUAUGCUAACAUUCCUUUGUAAAUAAAAUCAUAGCUAUUGUUCACUUUAUCUCCAGGUCUCCCAUUCUUCAGUUCAAUGACCAGACCUAUAGUCCACCACUACAUUAGCAUCAUUCAAAUAUGAUAAUAUUGCAAGCAGUUUUCAUGAUCUUCAUGAAUUUAUCAGAACUACUAACUGAAUUAGCUGGCAUUUCACAUGAAGAACAGAGAGCUUAUUAGCUAUACAGCAUGCACAUAUAUAAAACUUUGAUGCGACUGAAUAGCCACACGACCAACUCAUGUGACUGAUAGUAACAACAGAACAGAUGUGAUAAAAGCAUAUAGAGUUAAUAAGGAACAUGGGUUGUCUAAAUGUACCUAUUGUCUGAAUCGUAUGCUGAAAAACAACCCUUUUUGGCGCAUCGUUGCUAUAUGGAAAGAAUUGUGAUGAUAAAGCCAACGCAAGAACACUUCCAUGCAGCAAAACUUGGAUAAUUGGUGGUUUUGCCAACCAUUUCCCAAUAACAGGUAUACAAGGGCCAAAACACCAGCCUGUCACUAAUCCAACUAUAGCGGCAACUAUUGCAUCAGGAACAAAAUAUCCUGAAAUAAUUGCUAAUAUGUGAGAGGAUUACAGAUACUUGUUUCAAAUCCUACUUGGGUUUUGGGAUUUUUCAGUCUUAAUUAUGCAAGGACUACAAUCACAAUGAUAUUGCAGAAGAUUAGAAAUGCAAAGGAUAUCUCAGUAGAUAUAGCAAUAUAAUGUUCCAUCAGUAAAUGCAACCAGCUCAAGGAUCCAAACAAGUGCAACAGAUUAGAAGAAUCUUGAUUUUGCAGUCUUCGAAGUACAAAAAAGCUGUAUACCAACCAUAAGGAGGUGGAUGAGAGCCUGCCAUGCCCAUUUUUUCGAUGACAAAGACAGCAAGAAAUCCACCAAAGUAUACAGAGUACAUCAGGCAAGGUACCAAAGGGAUCACAUAUGAUGCUGCAGACCUGACAGACAGAAACAUCUUGGUGAAAAUACAAGCCAACUAGUUAUAUACUGAUAUGGUUAAGUUGGCUGAAAUAAAGCUAUCCUGCAUAAGAAACUAGACCAUGAAACACCAAAAUGCUAGUACAUUAAGUACGCCAAAAAUACCAUGACAAAAGGAUUCUAGAAUUGAAGAAAGAGUUAUUUAAACUAGCACCUGAGAGAUUGUUGACCAAAUGUCUUUACCGAUAGACGAUAGGAGAUCCAAGCUGGAAGCAUAGAAACUGAUACAAAGAAUGUGAUGAAACCCCCACUCAACCCCGAUACAAGGCUUGCCGGUUUUCAGAAUUUAUGUGAACAAUUUAAGUCUUAGGAAACUAAUGCUGUUAGGAAAGUAAAAAGAUAUGCACCAUCGAUCCAACCAUAUACAAACUCCUAAACUGAGUAAGACAACGAAUAUUUUCACCUACCAAAGUCAAGAGGGUAUAGAACCCAAAUGCUCCCCAGAACCUUGCUUCAUCAUCCAAUUCCUGCCAAAAAAAAAAAAGAAAGAGAAUAGAACUUCUAUAGUUCAACAUCGAGAAGUUAACAAAAGUAACAUGAAUCUAUACAUUAAUUAAAUGAGUUAAAUUUAGUGGACGGUCUAUUGUUAGGCGAAAGUCAAAAUUUUCCUCAGUUAGACAAGUGUCAGAUUGAGAAGAUUAAGGACUUCUUUUAGGUAUUGGAACUCAUUAGUUGCCAAACUAGAAACUUGAAAGGAAGGUUGUUUCCGAUGGCUUUGGAUUAGUGUAGGUCAUAACCAGCAAGGAUACAACAUAUAAACAUCUUUAAAGUUUAUAGAACAGUAUACCAGAAGGAAAAACAUUUGUCCACCAAGAUGAAAAUAAGACUGUAACAGAAGCACACACCUCCCGUGAUAAUGAAAGAGCCAAAACAUCUUGAGAUAGAGGAAAUUGCUUCCAAAUAAUUCUUGGAACCAACAGACCAACAAUUGAGCAUGGCACAAACAUUAGAAACGCCAAAAAUGGAUUUGCAAACCUGUAUAAACCCAAAAAGAAAGGGUUAAAUUACCAUUCCUCACACAAUGAACUACAGAGGGUAUAGAGAAAGAAACAAAAUAAUUGUUUUUUUUCCUCAAUACUAAAUUCGAUCAAAUUGAAAAGAAAGAUUAGGUUAGCACAUUGUCUUAGUGAGAACCAUCAGAGAAAGCAAAGUUAAAAAGUAGACACACCAGUUCAUGGAAUGUCCNCCAUGAAAAAUAAUAGACAAUAAAAAUUUAUGCCUUUAAAUGUCUCUUUUCUUUUUCUACAUUUUACACAAAAGUGAAGUUCAUCAUUUUUUCUUCCUUAUUUUCACUUCAAAGAUUGAUAAUAUUCUCCCUCCAGAAUGUAUUGUUUUUUUAUUUAUUUUUAGAGGAAAAUUUCAUUCCCUCGAAUUGAACAUAAAGGCAUAUAUAUGAGCACAAGUAUUAUUCUGCAUUAUACAUUUUGAGACGUAUCAAAUUUUUAGGUAACACAUUUGAAUUUAGUUGAUUAUUCAAGGAAAUUAUUUCAAUUUUCAUGCUCCAAUCCUUAAGAUUUUGUCACAUUGACUGUGACAUAAAUACAUUGGUUAUUUACUUUGUCGAAAUAAGCUCGAUCUACUGGAAAACUAAAAUAAAAAGGAUACUUGACUGUAAACACUAAAUUUUUGUAUUUCAAUUUGAUAAAAUACAAAAUGCGUUACAAAGAUAAUUUGAUAGAUUUGAAGAUAGAUUUAUGCGGGUUGCAAUCUCUAGUUAAUCCUCUUAUUCUUCUCUUCCAUUUUGAUUCUUGGGGUGCAAGCUCGAAGGUUCUUGAAAUACUUGAUUUGAUGACGCCAAUCCAAGGGACUCAAAGCAUGAUUUUGGAUUGAACAUUGAACUUGAUUUGAUUUGAGAACAUUCUUAGAAUUUGUAAGAAUGCCUUGAAGCUUUUGAACUUGAUUUCUUUGGAUACUUGAAGAUCACUUCAAAGAUUCGCAGAAAUACUUGAAGAUUUGAAGAAAUGCUUGAAGAUUUUGAAGAUACUUUGACUAUUGCCUUGAAGAUCUUGAAGAUACUUGAAUACUUGAAGAUUUGAAGAUUACUUGAAGAUAACUUGAAUACUAAAACAAUUGAAGAUUUGAAGGAGACUUGAAUGCUAGAUAGAAUUCUUCAAGAUACUUGAAUACUUGGAAGAAUACUUGAAGAUACUUGAAUACUUGAAUGCUAGUAUUAGAGUUAAUAUGUUGUGUUUACAAUGGUUAGGACCUUAGAAACCAAUUUAUCUGUGGUAUACGAUUAAAUUUGAACCAUAGAAAUGAUAUAUCAAUACGUGUAAAGGACGAGAAUAUGAACACAACCUACAAAAUAAGUGGGAAAAAUCAUUGAUGAAACGAGGGCAAAAGAGAUCGAGUAAGAAGUCCAAGAAGAAAUAUGCUAUUUAGGAUCCAAAAUACAUAUCCAAGCACAUAAGAAAAUUUCGAUUAAUCUCCAAAAUCCAAACAUAGUUCAAAACAAAGUGGACCAAAAAACAACUUUCAAAACUUGAACUACAAUAUGAUCCAACAAAUAGCCAAUUGCUCAAGACUUCCUCGGUUUGCUCGUCGCCAACUGCGACUCGGGCUAUAAAGAAACAACAAACAACAAUCAUGGUCAGGGCUUAAUCAAAUGAAGUACAAUAUAAAUCAAUUAAUAGAGCUGGAUAUUAAAACUUCAAAACGUAUCAAUUUGUUACCUCCUUUUUCACAGGCUCUCCUUUUCUGACAAAUCAACUCAAUAUGGCAAGGUGACGACAUGUAGGCUGAGAAUAAGGUCGCAUUAGUUCAUCCACAAAGUUACAGUUAUGAAAAGAAAAGACUAUAAUGACAUGCAAACAUACGGUUAAUCCUUCCAUGAGCACGGUAUGUGCGACACCUUUGCUUCUGGGCCUGGUUAACCUGAAUGUGAGAAAUGAAUAGUGCAUCCACAUCCAAACCUUUCACAUGUCAAAAAACCAAUAAUUAGACAUGGAAAAGAAAAGGAAGACAUCAGGUAUAAUAACUAAAGAAACAGGAAACGUACCUCAGCAUUACUUUCGGCAUUCUUGAGCAAAUCCAAGAUGAACAUGGCAGAUUUCACUGGCCAGCGACCUUAUCCGUUAGAGUGUCUAUUCUUGGCGUGAGCAGUUCGCCCAACACCACCACAGAAACGAGUGAAAGGUAUGGCCUGUUUGUGGGCAAGCACAUCCUCCAAGUACCUCUUGGCCUUGCCCAAAGGCAACUUCCUGAUGGCGUGCGCUGUCUCCCUAGUGUUCUGAUAAAAUAAAAUUUUCAUACUUAGCUAAUUCAUCAUAAUCUCCGGAUAACAUCACGAAAUAUAGCAUUCAUUUAAAAUCAGAACAGAAUCAUUUAUUAGACAAUUAGGCAAGCAGAAGAGAAUCCAUAAAAGUUGUACACAAAUAUGAAACAUAACUGACAGCAAUACAUAACUCAACAUAAAUUGACUUCAAACAUCACAAAUGUAGCAUGUUUACUGAACCAUCAAAUCAUAGGAAAAACUCAAGUGGUUCACCCAAUAACAUUGCACGACUUCUAUCCCUGAAGUUUACGAGAGACCUAUCCACAAAUGGCAACAGAUCCCUGCUUUUUUACAUCAAGUUGAACAUAUGCCAGCUCAAAAAAGCUCACGGUAGACACUACUAUAUGUACAACAUCAAACGAAUAAGGUGACAGACACAGAAAAUGAAAGCAUUAUGGAUGUAGCAUUGUUUACUGAACCAUCAUUCAUCUGAAAACGCAAAGUGGUUCACCCAAUAACAUUGCACAACUAUUAUCCCUGACGUUUACAAGAGACCAAUUCACAAAUGGCAAUAGAUCCAUGCUUUUAUCAUCAAGUUGAACGUCUAAACUGCAGAAUAAAUUACAUUACAUAGAAAUAAUUAAUGAACCCUAAAACUAUACUAAAAUGGGCGUAACUGAUGAACAUUAAGAUUGAAUUAGCUAAAUUAAACUGAACAGAAGUCCAAACACAUCGAUUAAUUUAUUGUGUAAAAUAAAAAGGAAGAACAACCAAUUAAAAAAAGUGUUUAGCUUAGUUAAUCAUUAAAACAAGCUCGGUGGAAUAAAUAAAAAAGACGAAUUUACCUUGAAAUGAACUCUGAGAUCAGAUCCCCUAGCCUUGCAAGCUGCAACAAAUAUACAACCAAAACAAAAUCAGCAAACAACACAGAUAAAACGCCGAACGGAAUAAAUCAUCACAAACAACAUAAACCUACAUUAGUGAUGUUAUCGGGCUCUCUCGAGUAUUUCACCUGUAGAAUUUACAGCAUAAUUAAAUUAAAGAUCAAAUUCGCAAAUGCGUUUGGAUAAAUUUAUGUGACUGAGAGAAGAUGAAAGAUACCAUUGUUGCAGCUGUUCUUCUUCGGCGGUACUGCAGAAACUGCGGAAGUCGAUUGAUCUUCUUCGAAUGAGAAAGAGAAGAUAUGGUGCAGAAGAUUUUAUAGUAAAACCCUAAUACUCAAUGGCUUCAUGGGUUGGGCUUCAACUUUUUGGGUCUAAAUUGCGAGGUAGAAGGGCCGGCCCAUAAAUGAACAUAGUAGAUUAUUUAUGUUUUUGGUCUCAAUAAGAUAAUAAUGAGUUUAUUUUUCAAAUUUAAAUUUAAAUUAUACUUCAUUUAUUUAUUAAAUUUUAGAGGAAAUUAAAAUUUCAUUCCAAAAUGUAUUUUUUAUUUAUUUUUAGGGGAAAUUUUCAUUCCCUCGGAUUUGAAUUUAGUUGACUAUUCAAGGAAAUUAUUUCAUAUUUUCAUACUCCAUUGUCCUUAAGAUUUUGUCACAUUGACUGUGACAUAAAUACAUUGGUUAUUUACUUCGUCAAAAUAAGCUCGAUCUACUGGAAAACUAAAUAAAAAGAUACUUGACAUCGCUAAAUAAAGAUUAUGGGUUCUUUAUAAUAAGAUAUUAAUGUUUAAAAAAUAACCAUUGCUUAUAAUAUCAAUGGUAACGAUCAGUAUUAUACUUUUCAUCUAUAGUUGUAGUCAACACUUAAAACUUCAAAUUCUUUUGAUAAUUGUUUCCGUUGCUUACUAAAAAGAGUAGUAGUUAUAUAAUGCCCAAAAACUUUCACUACAUCAAAAGAAAGAAUUUCAACCAAAAUGUUUCUUCAAUCAAUCAAUUAUGAUCACUGGAAAAAUAGUUUCAAAUUUCAAUCAGUAUGUAAAUCCAUAUUAAAGAGACUAGCCAAGUAAAUUAUACACAAAGUGAGUAAGAAAAAAAUUAGGCGAAGAAGCAAGAGAUGCAUGGGAUUAGAAGGUAUAGGAAGACAAGAAACUUGUGAAGGCAGUGACAUCCAUCCAACUUGGAAAAAGGCCUUUCAAUUUCGUCGUUUGCUCGGUUAAAUGCAGGUCCACCACAGCAACAUCGAGCCUCAGACGUUCCGAUGUGUUGGCCUGCACAACGGAAGCAUGCCAGUUGCAUCAAGGUUUCAGAAACUAGAUUAAGAUUGUCUGAAGAUGCAAGGAAUCUCUUCAUCAGAAGCCAUGAUCAAUUGUGA
rnacentral:lncRNA from 1 species